UCGCGGGGUGGAGCAGUGGUAGCUCAUUGGGCUCAUAACCCAAAGGUCGCUGGUUCGAAUCCAGCCCCCGCUAU
rnacentral:tRNA from 1 species